AAUUAUUCAUUUGUAUAUACACGUGUUGUGCAUUUGAGAUAUAAAAAGAGUAAUGACUUUCCUAUAGCUUUUGUGUAGUGUAAUUGAUAGAAUUGUGUAAGAGCUAGGAGCAAACUGUCAGAGGCCCUGACUAUAAUAGACUGGUGGAAAUGCGGACGGGGAUAGGAGAAAGUGCAAAAACUGUAUAUUAUAUCUGUUGUAAUAUAAGACAUGCUUGGGCUCUUCGGCUUUCUUUCAAAGUCCUCAUUUCCUCCAAAACUUGAUGUGAGUUGAGAUCUUUCGUGUAAUUGCUGUUGUACUCAAAUACUUGUAGAUAAUACUGUACACCUUUAUAACUUUUAUCUCAAAUAGAAAGUGUUAUUUUAUUUUUUGUGUAAAUAAUGUUACUAUCAAUAUUUAUUGUAACUGCAUGGUCAUUUUACUGCAUUCCUGGUAAUAGUAUGUGUACGAUGAAAUAGCAAGUAAGCCAAACAUAAACUUUCACUCCGCAUUAAUAAUGAUGUCCUUCAGUAGAAAGCAUCUCAAUGGAUGCAUUUGCUGUUGAAAGAAAUUUUUAUAAAUAUGAAGAACAAAUAAAGGAUGUUU
rnacentral:misc_RNA from 1 species